rnacentral:lncRNA from 1 species
UUGAAACCUGCGUAAGCUUACACUUAUACACCACAACGCUUAAGUAGAUUAAACAAUUAAAUCCACUUAGCCUCAUCAAUGAAAAUAGACAUCAUCCUUGAUGAAGGGUAUGUGACAAUCCCAUUGCCAUUAUGAAUUUCCAUCACCUUCAUCUAUUGUCUUGAGUUGCGAACCCAACUGCUACACUCCAAGUGUCAAGCUCAACUCCUCAUUGACGUUGUGUUACCUCAUAUCCUGUUACUUCUCGUGAACUUAUCAACAACACAACCUUGCUGUUAAAAUCACGAACCUGUUCAAGUGCUUGAACAAAAACCUUAGCAUCCUUCUGCAAAUUGAUUUCCUCCUUAGCUUUUCGAUUCCACUCAUGUGCACCGAGCCUUGAACCAAAUUCCAUGAAUACUGUGAAACAACCUUUGAACCAUAUAUGCUUUAGACCUGAAACAACCUCUGAUUCUCUACUUAUUUAAAACACUCCAGCCUUGAACACCUUUUUGUACCGCUGUUACUCUGAACAUGACCCGCCAUCCAACCAUCACUGCUGGACAGACUUUCGACACAACCUUAGUUCACCCUUCAUGUUGUUAACAGAAAUUGCUACCACAUAAUUCUCCUUGAAUCAACCGCAAACCUCGAAGUCACUCAUGCUCCAUAUCUCUGAAACAGUCCUUGACUUAACAUUGAUGUUCUUGAACAGAUUACACUUGAGCAUCACUUUGUACCGUUAUUAUCACAAGUAGGUCACGCGCCUAAAACCACAUGAUUAGAAAGACUUUCGACAUAAAUAUCUUUGCUCCACCAUUUGAUCAACCUGUUCUGCAACAACAGAACCCCACUAACAGAUUUAGUCUCCACUGCUAGUUAAAUGAACUGAGCCUCGUACCAUCUAAUCCAUGAUACGCCUUGGCUCUCCUCACGAGCUGCAUAUAAUGUCUUAUCUAGAAUCCCUAAUAUCCUUCCUUUACUAAUCUGUGACUUCAUUAUCUCAAUACCCUUCUUGUGUUGAGAUGUCUCCAAAACCGAAACAUGUGCAUCACCACAACGACUUGAACACGCCUGUUAGUCAUUGAACUCUCAUGGCCAUCGAUGAGUAUCUGGCCAUUUGCUAAUGGACU